rnacentral:tRNA from 1 species
GCGGGGGUAGCAAAGCGGUUAAAUGCGCAAGACUUAAGAUCUUGUGGCUUAGUGCCUUCGGAGGUUCGAAUCCUCCCUCCCGCA